rfam:Flavobacterium succinicans strain DD5b FLB_contig000060, whole genome shotgun sequence.
CCAUAGCCCUGAUGGAAGCGGCAUCCUUUUAUACCAAAAACCCUUUCAGUUUUAAAUACUGAAAGGGUUUUUGGUAUAAAAGAUAUAGCGUACAGCAGGAUAAAGC